rnacentral:rRNA from 1 species
AAGGUGCUAAUACCGGACUAAGAAAGACAGAUCGCAUGAUCAGCUUUUAAAAGGCGGCGUAAGCUGUCGCUAUGGGAUGGCCCCGCGGUGCAUUAGCUAGUUGGUAAGGUAAAGGCUUACCAAGGCGAUGAUGCAUAGCCGAGUUGAGAGACUGAUCGGCCACAUUGGGACUGAGACACGGCCCAAACUCCUACGGGAGGCAGCAGCG